rnacentral:rRNA from 1 species
UACGUAGGGUGCGAGCGUUAAUCGGAAUUACUGGGCGUAAAGCGUGCGCAGGCGGUUCGCUGUGUCCGAUGUGAAAGCCCCGGGCUUAACCUGGGAAUGGCAUUGGAAACUGGCGGGCUUGAGUGUGGCAGAGGGGGGUGGAAUUCCGCGUGUAGCAGUGAAAUGCGUAGAGAUGCGGAGGAACACCGAUGGCGGAGGCAGCCCCCUGGGCUAACACUGACGCUCAGGCACGAAAGCGUGGGGAGCAAACAGG